rnacentral:rRNA from 1 species
UACGAAGGGUGUCAAGCGUUACUCGGAAUUACUGGGCGUAAAGCGUGCGUAGGUGGUGAGUUAAGUCUGUCGUGAAAGCCCCGGGCUCAACCUGGGAAUGGCGAUGGAUACUGGCUCGCUAGAGUGCGGUAGAGGAGAGUGGAAUUCCCGGUGUAGCAGUGAAAUGCGUAGAGAUCGGGAGGAACAUCAGUUGCGAAGGCGGCUCUCUGGACCAGCACUGACACUGAGGCACGAAAGCGUGGGGAGCAAACAGG